AGUGAACGCUGGCGGUAGGCCUAACACAUGCCAGUCGAACGGCAGCACAGUAAGAGCUUGCUCUUACGGGUGGCGAGUGGCGGACGGGUGAGGAAUACAUCGGAAUCUACUUUUUCGUGGGGGAUAACGUAGGGAAACUUACGCUAAUACCGCAUACGACCUACGGGUGAAAGCAGGGGAUCUUCGGACCUUGCGCGAUUGAAUGAGCCGAUGUCGGAUUAGCUAGUUGGCGGGGUAAAGGCCCACCAAGGCGACGAUCCGUAGCUGGUCUGAGAGGAUGAUAAGCAACACUGGAAGUGAGACAGGGUCCAGACUCCGACGGGAGGCAGCAGUGGGGAAUAGUGGAAAAUGGGCGCAAGCUUGAACAAGCCAUAAGGCGUGAGAGAAGAAGGCCUUCGGGUUGUAAAGCCCUUUUGUUGGGAAAGAAAAGCAGAAGGUGGAUAACCCGCUGUUCUGACGGUACCCAAAGAAUAAGCACCGGCUAACUUCGUG
rnacentral:rRNA from 1 species